AUGAGGGGGGGAAGAUUGAGAAAAAAGGAGGUAGAGAGAGCGUUACCCAAAAGAAUCAGAUCGCCUCUUCCGGUCCACACAGCCGCUAGAAUCCAAGAGGGUCCAGUUGCCAAGCGUGACCGGAAGUCCCGCCUCCCGUAUCCAGGGAGGCUGCACGCCUGCCGUCGUCAUUCAGGGUGUGACGAAGGGUUGUCGCAGGAAGCCGGGAGGUUGGAGGGAAGAAGCGCCCCCGCCCCAACCCCGCCCCUUUCAGGGUUGAAGUUGGGGUCCGGCGUGGUGAAGAGUAAAAACAGUCUCCAGCAUUCAAUAAGGAUUUUGAGUCUUGAGUCUCUCUAUCCCUUCCUUUUCCUCCUCCUACUGAGAUGGCUAUUCUAUAGGACUGACAAUAACAUGAAAGGCUAAUUAGGAGACUGGAACCUGCUUUACUCUACCCUGCCAUUUUCAUUUUUGCCAACAUGGUGAUGGAAAGCAGGAGUGGGCUGUGGCUCUGCAGGCUGCCCCGUGCCCUCCUGAUUCUGCUCAAUUGUCUGGAGAGCUGGCAGAGUGGUAUGGAUCCAAGCAGGGAAGCCCCAGGAAAGAUGCUCCAGUGGAAGACUUGACCAGAAACUACUCAGCUCUUCUGCCCUGUAUUCAUCUCAUCAAUGGACAGAGAUAUGGAAAGUGAUCCAGCCCAAAUGGCAAACCUGAAAGUUAUUCAGGUUAAACCCUGAUCUUAGAUCUUUUGUUGAGAAAAUAUAAAGAAAACCUUCCCAGAUCCAGGUUCAAGCAUGCUUGGUGAUGGGAAUUCCAGGCCAUCUUCAGGUUUUCCUACUUUCCCCCACAUUCCAGAUCUACUGAUAUCUACCAACCUCGUGAGUGCAUGUAGCCAAGCUCCCUGCAUUCUGUGUGUUUAUGUCCCCUGGUUGGCUUAAAUAUGUGUUUAUUUAAAUAAACAAUCAAACUUGCCAUCA
rnacentral:lncRNA from 1 species